rnacentral:rRNA from 1 species
GAUGAACGCUGGCGGCGUGCCUAAUACAUGCAAGUCGAGCGAACAGACGAGGAGCUUGCUCCUCUGACGUUAGCGGCGGACGGGUGAGUAACACGUGGAUAACCUACCUAUAAGACUGGGAUAACUUCGGGAAACCGGAGCUAAUACCGGAUAAUAUAUUGAACCGCAUGGUUCAAUAGUGAAAGACGGUUUUGCUGUCACUUAUAGAUGGAUCCGCGCCGCAUUAGCUAGUUGGUAAGGUAACGGCUUACCAAGGCAACGAUGCGUAGCCGACCUGAGAGGGUGAUCGGCCACACUGGAGCUGAGACACGGUCCAGACUCCUACGGGAGGCAGCAGUAGGGAAUCUUCCUCAAUGGGCGAAAGCUUGACGGAGCAACGCCGCGUGAGUGAUGAAGGUCUUCGGAUCGUAAAACUCUGUUAUUAGGGAAGAACAAAUGUGUAAGUAACUAUGCACGUCUUGACGGUACCUAAUCAGAAAGCCACGGCUAACUACGUG